rnacentral:rRNA from 1 species
GACGAACGCUGGCGGCGUGCCUAAUACAUGCAAGUAGAACGCUGAAGGAGGAGCUUGCUUCUCUGGAUGAGUUGCGAACGGGUGAGUAACGCGUAGGUAACCUGCCUGGUAGCGGGGGAUAACUAUUGGAAACGAUAGCUAAUACCGCAUAAGAGUAGAUGUUGCAUGACAUUUGCUUAAAAGGUGCAAUUGCAUCACUACCAGAUGGACCUGCGUCGUAUUAGCUAGUUGGUGAGGUAACGGCUCACCAAGGCAACGAUACAUAGCCGACCUGAGAGGGGGAUCGGCCACACGGGAACUGAGACACGGUCCAGACUCCGACGGGAGGCAGCGGUAGGGAAGCUUCGGCAAGGGGCGAAAGCUGGACGGAGCAACGCGGGGGGAGUGAUGAAGGUCUUCGGAGCGGAAAACGAGGUGAUUAGGGAAGAAGAAAGGUGUAAGGAAAUAUGCACGUCUUGACGGUACCUAAUCAGAAAGCCACGGCUAACUACGUG